CAGCUUGUUGUCAUUGCAGGCAAUCUCAACACUGUGCGUUACAGGGAAGACAUCCUCCUCCCUCAUGUGGUACCCUUCCUGCAGGCUCAUCCUGACAUGACCCUCCAGCAUGACAAUGCCACCAGCCACACUGCUCGUUCUGUGCGUGGUUUCCUUCAAGACAUGAAUAUCAGUGUUCGGCCAUGGCCAGCGAAGAGCCUGGAUCUCAAUCCCAUUGGGAAAGUCUGGGACCUGUUGGAUCAGAGGGUGAGGGCCAUUCCCCCCCAGAAAUGUCCAGGAACUUGCAGGUACCUUGGUGGAAGAGUGGGGUUACAUCACACAGCAAGAACUGGCAAAUCUGGUGCAGUCCAUGAGGAGGAGAUGCACUGCAGUACUUAAUGCAGCUACACCAGAUACUGACUGUUAAUUUUGACCCCCCUCCCCUUUGUUCAGGGACACAUUAUUCCAUUUUUGUUAGUCACAUGCCUGUGGAACUUGUUCAGUUUAUGUAUCAGUUGUUGAAUCUUGUUAUGUUCAUACAAAUAUUUACACAUGUUAAGUUUGCUGAAAAUAAACUCAGUUGACAGUGAGAGGACAUUUCUUUUUUUGCUGAGUUUAGCUAGUUAGCUACCUAGCUAAGGACAAAACAAACACUGGCCUUCAGUACAGCGAGGGGCGAGUCACUGUUGACAGACAGCCAGACUGCCUUCUUUAGAGUAGACAACAGUAGUCAAGCCACUGAAAGCAACAUAACUUCGCUAACGUUAGAUGGCUUUGAUGGUGGUAGGCAGUUAUAAUGAAGGCCAGUGAUUGUGGGGGAACUGCCAGAGCUGAACCAGUGACUCUGUGGUUAUGGAGCGUGGCCACCACCUGUGCCAUGACCUCUUGGCAGUUGAAGCCUGCAGCAGUAGGCCUACACUAAGAAAGAAGGGCCACUUGAUCCUGUACAUCUGACCCCAGGACCAACCUGCUAUGACCAAUGAGGACUUAAAACAGUCAUUUUAUACCACUGUAGAAAUACUGACUCAUUUUCAUCAUCUUUAUCAUAUGUAUAAGGAUAUGUUUUACAUCAGUCGACAUAACAUGGACCUCAGUUGUCCAAAACACUCAAAAUAAAAGACACACAGACACAAUGCAGCUUUCAAGAUUGCUUUAAGAUAUAGAUAUAUUUUCAGAUCUGAGUUAAUGUCAAAAAUACACAUUAUGAUUUACAGAGUUUUGCACUAGAUCAUAAUGCUGAGGAUGAUAGAUGUCACAUAAGCAGUAACUGAAAUAUUCAUUUAAAUAUUAAAUAACUGACGGUAAACAAAGAAAAUGAUGUAAACACUAAAGCUACAUGUUACUCUCUAUUGCAACACUUUAAAGAUUUGUUUUUGUAACAGUACAAAAAAAACAUUAGAAUUU